UUGAAUAUAAACUUAGAGUUGUGCAGCUGCUGGCUCUUUUUUGAGCAUUUGUGCACGCCUUCUCUUUUUUUAUCCACACACACCUGUGCACUUGUGAGACGGGAGGGCUGUUUUGGCCCUUUCGUCUACUAUGAUAUACAAACUCAUUUAAUUUAAACUGAAUGUAAUUGAUGUAACGCAUCAUUAAUUAGAAC
rnacentral:misc_RNA from 1 species